UGCUCCACAACCCCACCUCUUUCAGGGUGUGGAGGAGAGGGAGCUGGGACCCACAAAAGGCUUCAGCCCUGGCCAUUUCCCUUCACCUGUUCAGCAGGUGGGCCCCAGGUUACCUUGCUCCUCAGCACCGGAAAGUUAAUGUCCUUUGUUCCUCGUAAUUUGCUUUACUGUGGCGGCAGGGAGCUGCUCGAUACACGCGUGCACGUCUGGUGAACAAGGGAGAAAGUUAGAGUCUCACCUGUGAGUAUGAUCACUUUGUGGGAAUGGCCAAAUCCUUGCUAAAGGGGUCAUUCUCACCUUUUUCCUUGAUCC
rnacentral:lncRNA from 1 species